rnacentral:rRNA from 1 species
CGGGACACGUGGUAUCCUGUCUGAAUAUGGGGGGACCAUCCUCCAAGGCUAAAUACUCCUGACUGACCGAUAGUGAACCAGUACCGUGAGGGAAAGGCGAAAAGAACCCCGGCGAGGGGAGUGAAAAAGAACCUGAAACCGUGUACGUACAAGCAGUGGGAGCCUCUUUAUGGGGUGACUGCGUACCUUUUGUAUAAUGGGUCAGCGACUUAUAUUCUGUAGCAAGGUUAACCGAAUAGGGGAGCCGAAGGGAAACCGAGUCUUAACUGGGCGUUAAGUUGCAGGGUAUAGACCCGAAACCCGGUGAUCUAGCCAUGGGCAGGUUGAAGGUUGGGUAACACUAACUGGAGGACCGAACCGACUAAUGUUGAAAAAUUAGCGGAUGACUUGUGGCUGGGGGUGAAAGGCCAAUCAAACCGGGAGAUAGCUGGUUCUCCCCGAAAGCUAUUUAGGUAGCGCCUCGUGAAUUCAUCUCCGGGGGUAGAGCACUGUUUCGGCAAGGGGGUCAUCCCGACUUACCAACCCGAUGCAAACUGCGAAUACCGGAGAAUGUUAUCACGGGAGACACACGGCGGGUGCUAACGUCCGUCGUGAAGAGGGAAACAACCCAGACCGCCAGCUAAGGUCCCAAAGUCAUGGUUAAGUGGGAAACGAUGUGGGAAGGCCCAGACAGCCAGGAUGUUGGCUUAGAAGCAGCCAUCAUUUAAAGAAAGCGUAAUAGCUCACUGGUCGAGUCGGCCUGCGCGGAAGAUGUAACGGGGCUAAACCAUGCACCGAAGCUGCGGCAGCGACACUAUGUGUUGUUGGGUAGGGGAGCGUUCUGUAAGCCUGCGAAGGUGUACUGUGAGGUAUGCUGGAGGUAUCAGAA